UACAGAGGGUGCAAGCGUUGCUCGGAAUUACUGGGCGUAAAGGGCAGGUAGGUGGUCGAAUUUGUGUGGGGUGAAAGCCUCGGGCUUAACCCGAGAAGUGCCCCGCAAACGGUUCGACUGGAGUCACGGAGAGGUUAGCGGAAUUCCCGGUGUAGCGGUGAAAUGCGUAGAGAUCGGGAGGAACAUCAGAGGCGAAGGCGGCUAACUGGACGUGUACUGACACUCAACUGCGAAAGCGUGGGGAGCAAACAGG
rnacentral:rRNA from 1 species